AGUGAACGCUGGCGGUAGGCCUAACACAUGCAAGUCGAACGGCAGCACAGGAGAGCUUGCUCUCUGGGUGGCGAGUGGCGGACGGGUGAGGAAUACAUCGGAAUCUACUCUGUCGUGGGGGAUAACGUAGGGAAACUUACGCUAAUACCGCAUACGACCUACGGGUGAAAGCAGGGGGCCUUCGGGCCUUGCGCGAUUGAAUGAGCCGAUGUCGGAUUAGCUAGUUGGCGGGGUAAAGGCCCACCAAGGCGACGAUCCGUAACUGGUCUGAGAGGAUGAUCAGCAACACCGGAACUGAGACACGGUCCAGACUCCUACGGGAGGCAGCAGUGGGGAAUAUUGGACAAUGGGCGCAAGCCUGAUCCAGCCAUACCGCGUGGGUGAAGAAGGCCUUCGGGUUGUAAAGCCCUUUUGUUGGGAAAGAAAUCCAGCUGGCUAAUACCCGGUUGGGAUGACGGUACCCAAAGAAUAAGCACCGGCUAACUUCGUGCCAGCAGCCGCGGUAA
rnacentral:rRNA from 1 species